AGUGAACGCUGGCGGUAGGCCUAACACAUGCAAGUCGAACGGCAGCACAGGAGAGCUUGCUCUCUGGGUGGCGAGUGGCGGACGGGUGAGGAAUACAUCGGAAUCUACUCUGUCGUGGGGGAUAACGUAGGGAAACUUACGCUAAUACCGCAUACGACCUACGGGUGAAAGCAGGGGAUCUUCGGACCUUGCGCGAUUGAAUGAGUCGAUGUCGGAUUAGCUAGUUGGCGGGGUAAAGGCCCACCAAGGCGACGAUCCGUGGCUGGUCUGAGAGGAUGAUCAGCCACACUGGAACUGAGACACGGUCCAGACUCCUACGGGAGGCAGCAGUGGGGAAUAUUGGACAAUGGGCGCAAGCCUGAUCCAGCCAUACCGCGUGGGUGAAGAAGGCCUUCGGGUUGUAAAGCCCUUUUGUUGGGAAAGAAAUCCAGCUGGCUAAUACCCGGUUGGGAUGACGGUACCCAAAGAAUAAGCACCGGCUAACUUCGUGCCAGCAGCCGCGGUAA
rnacentral:rRNA from 1 species